CAGGCCUAACACAUGCAAGUCGAACGGUGCUAGCAAUAGCAUAGUGGCGCACGGGUGCGUAACACGUAACUAACCUACCUAUAACUGGGGGAUAGCCCGCCGAAAGGCGGAUUAAUACCGCAUAAGCUCUGAGGGUGGCAUCACCUUUUUAGUAAAGAUUUAUUGGUUAUAGAUGGGGUUGCGGGUCAUUAGCUAGUUGGUUGGGUAAUGGCUGACCAAGGCGACGAUGACUAGGGGAGCUGAGAGGCUGGUCCCCCACACGGGCACUGAGAUACGGGCCCGACUCCUACGGGAGGCAGCAGUAGGGAAUAUUGGGCAAUGGGCGAGAGCCUGACCCAGCCAUGCCGCGUGCAGGAAGAAGGCUUUCUGAGUCGUAAACUGCUUUUGACAGGGAAGAAUAAGCUUGACGUGUCAAGUGAUGACGGUACCUGCAGAAUAAGCACCGGCUAACUCCGUGCCAGCAGCCGCGGUAAU
rnacentral:rRNA from 1 species